CUUUUCGGUCCAGCAGGGCUGGGAUUUUGACGCAUGGUGGGGGCGUGACGUGAGAAGUACCGGGCUGGGGAGAGACAACCCGGGACCUCAGCCUCUUUACCCUCGGCUCUGAUUAUCUUCUCCUGCCCCAGACUGGACUGGUCUGGGAAAUCCAAAUUACACCAAGAAACAGCAUACCUCUUUGGCCUUGAUGGAGUUGGGUUAGCUGUCAAUCAAAAAUUCUCCCUCACUAGUUCAAGGAAAAGACAGGAGAUUCCCGUUCCCCUGCCUAGGCUUCCUCCAAAUCCCCAGCGCCAUCAGCACCUCCCCCAGCCCAGGCGGCUGGGGACCCUGCCUGGCUCUUGGGUGACUGCUGGCAAUGCUGAGCAGAGCUGUGUAGCCUUCAGAGGGCCUGGGGCCAGACUGCGACCAAGAGGACAUCAGAGGACAGAGCCUGAGACAGACUGAGCCCGAGACGGCCUGAGACAACAAGACUGAAGCACGGCACGAGGCCCAUAGAGAGGAAGGGAGAAAGGAAGGAGGGAAGGAAAAAAGAAAACGGAUUAGGAUAAAAGAAAGAAAGAGGGGAGAAUUACAGAAAAGAGGGGAGGCAGGAUGAAAAGAGGGGGAGAGCAGGGAAAGGAAGGCAUGCAGAGAGCGAGCUGGAGGAAGGGCGGUGACAGGAAGGCAGGACCGGGCAGGGCGCGGGCUGGCCGAGCAGCCGUGGCAUUGUGCAGCCCGCUGGCUGGCCGGGCCUUUGCCGCGGGACCAGCUCCGGGCGCUGCGGCCACUUCUGUCUGGACACAAAGGAGGAAGAGGCCUCCUCUCCUGCCUCUCCCGGGCGACCUGCUGAGGUGGGUACACCAGGCCUCUGGGAUAUAGAACCCUAACUCGGCCCAGGCAGCCGCCCAGGCAGCUGGGAGCUGAGCCACGGUCUCGUCAAGGAGCAAAGAAGACAUGAGGAAGGAGAAGGUUUCACACCCGCUCCUUCUUUGCAUCUUCGCCAGGGAACAGAGCCCAUCUGUCCCAACCUCAGUCUUCUUAGAAGAAAGAUGCCCCUACAGCCCCUCUCCUGUGAGCCUCUACUAUUUGGGAGAGCCCCCCAGACAUACUGGCUGUAAACAGAUGCCCCUUUCUCUGCUACCCACUUCGGUCACCGCUUUCUUUUCAACUCUUGAGCAGCCUGCCCACCCAGCAGAGGCAGCAGCAGUGGGGCAGCCUGGAUCACCAGGCCCACGCUCUCCGCUGCCGUCAAGUUCCCUGUCAAACUGAGGGGAGAUUGUCGCGCCUUCAUUUCGGAGAGUGAACUCAGACCCUCCUCACUCAGGCACAGACACAGCUGUGGAUUAGGAAGCAGGCCUCGCCCACAGCCCCCUCCCCACCAAUGCCCCAUUUUGCCUAGGCCUUGCUGAGAGAGGUAGCCAGGUGGAGGGGGGCUGGAAGAGGCUGGGAGUCCCUGAGUUCACCAGGCCACCAGGCCGAGGUCCCUCAGGUUCCACAACUGCAUGUGGGUAGUACCCCUCUUCUCUGCAUUUGGAGAUGGGGUGGCAGGUCAGGGCUCUGAAGCAGACCUUCAGGCUCCCCCCAAAUCCAGGCCUGUAGGUGUCCGGGCACAAAGGAUGUGGGAGAACCAAGAAGGAGGGGUUUGUCUUCCCAGGUUCAGUUAUGCCUGCUGAAUCUCCUGCCCGGUUCCCAGCCUCCCUCUCACCCCCACCACUCCCUUCAAUUCUCCUCAUCACCGAUGGGGAACCCAAGGGACUGGAGGCCACUGGGAGUCCCUGUUGGGGACGGCGGGGGGACCCCAGCUUUAGCUAGCAGCUGUGCAUCCACUCUAGUUCUUAGAGCUCUCUUCUGACCCCAAAAGACAGCACUGGGCACAGGAGAGGCCCCGCAGGGGGAGGAGCACCCUUACUGCAUCACCUCAGACCUGGACAGCUGGGACCACAAUCAAGCUAGCACCACCGUGGGAAGGACAGACAGACAGAAAGACAGGCAGUUUAUACUCAUCCCCUCCCCUUGCCCUGCAUCUCCCUUUUAGUGAUUUAAAUUCCCUCCGGUUCAAUCCACACCGCCAAGUUCGGAUUAAAUUUAAAACAGGCUUUUCCCAGUCCCCCAGUGGGUCAUCCCCACGCCCGCAGGCAGGGCGCCCGCCGCUCCCGGCUCGUCAGCGCGGAGGAGGCUGUGUGUACUCCAUUUGCUUUCAUUUUCCUUCUCCCCCUGAAAUGGGCUCAGUUCACCUCUCCGCUGCCCUCUCCUCCUCCCCGCCCCCUCCUUGGUUCCCCUCUACUUUCCCCCCUUUUCUCUCCUGAUCCCUCUUUGUUGGGAAAAACACACCCACACACACAACUCCUCCUAGCUCAGGCCUGCGCUGGAAGCAGAAACUGAAAUCUCCUGGCCUGCCGCGAGGAGACCAGCGUCCUGCACCCACCCCAGGGCGUUGGGCAGAGACCCGGAAGACUCGGUCCCUCUGGCUUGGUCCAAUCCCGCCUCGGGAAGCGCCUUCGUUACCUGCUCCUCGGCUCCCCACGGCCACAGAUGCAGGGAAGCCGCCUCCGCCGGGGGAGGGAAGCCCCGGCCACCGCAGCCGCCGCUGCCCGCCCUCCUUCCCUCCCUCCCUCUUCCUCGCCCUCCCUCCCUCUCUCCCUCCCUCGCGCGCUGCCGCUCGCGGGGCCCUCCCGCGGGCAACCUGUUCUGGACCAAAUCCAGGUAUCUCCGAAAGAGACAAAAAAGAAAGGACCUCUUACGUGGAAAAGAAAGACCUUUAACUGCAUUUAUUUUUCACGCUCUGACCCUUGGUGGGCCUCAGUUCAGACGUCCUGGGCCCGGCCCUGCAGCUGCAGAGGUGCGGUGCCUGCCGCCUCGCCCACGCUGGCCGCCGCGCUCCGCGCACUGUGCGCUGCACACUCUGGGCCGCCGCCCCCGAGGCCCAAACACCAAACAGACCUCAAGGUCCUUACUACAGACUCAACCUCCGGUUGCCCGCCUCGCCGCUGGCCUCUCUCCGGGAGCCCGCUCCGCUCCGUCUGCGGCCAAAGUCCACACACAAUCCACCUUGUUCGUGCUCUCGCGCCCGGCCGGACACCCUUCCUAGUCAAGGCGCCCACUGGCCACCCUCGGGCCGCGGCCUUGUCCGGGGCUGCAAACCUCCUCCCCUGCACGGGACCCACACAAAGCCCAGUGUCCUGACGCUCCCACCCGCAGCCCCCUGUCCCUGGCCCCGAUGCCCUGCACCUGUUCCUGAGAAGGGCUGCAUCUCCGGGCGAGCCGAGGCAGGCCGGUGGGCCCGGGCGGAGGGUGCUGGGGAGCCGAGGUCCCAGGGAGGCCACAGAGGCUCGGCCGGCUAAGCCGGAGCCCCCGCAGGCGGGCGAGAGAUCUCAGAGACCAAGGCUCUCCUUGUCGAGCUCUUGCCUUUUCCUCCUUCUCCUGCAAGUCUUAAACACUCACACGCCGAGAGUUCAGCUCUAUAAAUCCUGCUCCUCUUUCCCAUAUCAUAAUUAAAAAAAACCAGUAGGGGAGGUUUUAACUUUUAUUGCGAUUUCUGGAGUUGGGCUGCGGAGCAUAUAUUAAGUUUACGCUUAUGCACUCUCGGCGGGGAGGGUCCUUUAAGAAAUAAAAAUCCAUCUUAA